AGUUACAGGAACAGACAGGGAAGAAUAGAAGAGAGGAAAGUUAUAGCGUGCAUAUUGAUCUUCAGAAGCAGCCACAGUUGUUCGCCUCCUCCCCUUGACUGGGUAAAAUAUUGCAGUAUACAAGAUUGUCCACAUGAAAAGAUGGUUUUGAAAUCCAACCAAGGAAACAAAAAUCCCAUCCAUAGUUUUGCGGCAGGAGAGCUCUUCCCCAUGCAGAAUCCUUAACUGAAAGAUCACCAAGGGAACCUAUUGUGCGUGAACAGAACACUGAUCAUGUUGAGAAAAGUGCACACUCACUACUCUGAUAAAAGGAGAGAAAUAAAUACAUAUAUGGUUA